rnacentral:rRNA from 1 species
AUUGAACGCUGGCGGCAGGCUUAACACAUGCAAGUCGAGCGGUAGAGGGGAGCUUGCUUCCCUUGAGAGCGGCGGACGGGUGAGUAAUGCCUAGGAAUCUGCCUGGUAGUGGGGGACAACGUUCGGAAACGGACGCUAAUACCGCAUACGUCCUACGGGAGAAAGUGGGGGAUCUUCGGACCUCACGCUAUCAGAUGAGCCUAGGUCGGAUUAGCUAGUUGGUGGGGUAAAGGCCUACCAAGGCGACGAUCCGUAACUGGUCUGAGAGGAUGAUCAGUCACACUGGAGCGGAGACACGGUCCAGACUCCUCCGGGAGGCAGCAGUGGGGAAUAUUGGACAAUGGGCGCAAGCCUGAUCCAGCCAUGCCGCGUGUGUGAAGAAGGUCUUCGGAUUGUAAAGCACUUUAAGUUGGGAGGAAGUUCAGUAAGUUAAUACCUUGUUGAAUUGACGUUACCGACAGAAUAAGCACCGGCUAACUCUGUGCCAGCCGCCGCCGUAACAC